rnacentral:rRNA from 1 species
CCUACGGGUGGCAGCAGUGGGGAAUAUUGCACAAUGGGGGAAACCCUGAUGCAGCGACGCCGCGUGAGUGAAGAAGUAUUUCGGUAUGUAAAGCUCUAUCAGCAGGGAAGAAAAUGACGGUACCUGAUUAAGAAUCCCCGGCUAACUACGUGCCAGCAGCCGCGGGAAUACGUAGGGGGCAAGCGUUAUCCGGAUUUACUGGGCGUAAAGGGAGCUUAGGGGGCAGCACAAGGCUGGAGUGAAAUGCCGGGGCUUAACCCCGGAUGUGCUUUGGAAACUGUGCAGCUAGAGUGCAGGAGAGGUAAGUGGAAUGCGUAGUGUAGCGGUGAAAUGCGUAGAUAUUAGGAGGAACACCAGUGGCGAAGGCGGCUUACUGGACUGUAACUGACGUUGAGGCUCGAGAGCGUGGGGAGCAAACAGGAUUAGAUACCCGAGUAGUC